rnacentral:lncRNA from 1 species
GGAGGACUUGGGGCCUCAGCCACAGUCAGGAGCCGCCUUCCUUAGGAUCCGCUGUGGAGGCUUCGGGAGGAUGUGGGGCCGCGUCCACGCUGGCGGGAGCCGGGCCUUCUCAGGACCCGCUGCGGAGGCUUAUAGAGGACAUGGGGCCGCGUCCACAAGGACAGGAGCCCGGCCUCCUCAGGACUCGCCGAUGGAGGAGAAGAAGGCCACGGAUGACCUCCAGAGGCGGCUGGCGGACAUACCCUCCACCCUGACAGAGGGGUUGACCCCACAGGCAUCCCCAGGAACAGAUGCUGGGGAUUGCCGGGCAAGACCUCCAAGACCACCCAGACCACUGUCCCAGGUGGUUGUUCACCGGACAGUCCAGGAGCCGGAGUCCAUGGAGGCCAAGCCCGAGGCUGCUCCACCACCUGAGGAGCUAGAGCCGGCUCCAACUCCAUCAGCAGCUCUGGAGGGAAGAGGGGGUGACUGCAGCGACUUCAGGAGGAGACCAGGAACCAGCAGGGGACCCAGCACCUGCCCAUGGAGAGCCUGGCGUGGACCAGGAAGAACAGGCUCCUGCCCCAGGCCCUGGCCCUGUUAUAGUUCCUGCCCCUGCCAGGGCCACUGCCCCUUCCCCUGCCUCUGCCUGUGCUUCUGUUCCUGCCCCUGACCCAGAUCCUGUCCCUCUCCCUGCUCCUGCCCUUUCUCCUGUCCCUUCCCCUGCCCCUGCCUGUGCUUCUGUUACUGCCCCUGACCUAGAUCCUCACCCUGCUCCUGCCCUGGAUCCUGCACCUGCCACUACUGAUGAUCCUGUCCCUUCCCCUUGCCCCUGCCCCUGGCCCUGCUCUUACACCUGUCCCUGCUCCUGUCCCUGCCCAUAUUCUAACCCCUGCCCCUACUCCUGCUCCUGCAGGGCUCCCACAGCCACAUCCAGAGCCCACAGCCCUGCAGGGAGAGCUCCUUGUACAAUUACCCUUAGUUCCAUCACCGGACCCCGACGCCCCGCCAGAUUGUUUCGUCCCCUCCCCCUAUGUUCUUUCUCUCUGGUUCGUAUUAACUGUUAUUUUAUCUUUUCAUGUCCUAUAUACUGUUUAUUAUUUGUUUUAAAUAAAAUUACUUGUUUUCAAUUGAACACGUCAUGAGCAUUAAGUACACUCCCAACGCUGUGCCACCACACCCCAGAACAUUGCUGCAGAAUAUCUCCUUCCCCAAAGGAGUCCCCGAACCAGAAGCCCUCCCUGCCCAUUUCUCUCCCAGCCCAGACCCUGGCGACCCCCAAGCUGCUUUCUCUCUCUGUUCCUUUACCUGUUCUGGAUGUUUCUGUAAGUGGAAUCACGCAAGAGGUGCCUUUGUGUCU